GGUUCUGUUGUGUAAUGGUUAGCACUCUGCACUUUGAAUCCAGUGUUCCGAGUUCAAAUCUCGGAAGGACCU
rnacentral:tRNA from 1 species